rnacentral:rRNA from 1 species
AUACGGAGGGCGCAAGCGUUGUUCGGAAUCAUUGGGCGUAAAGCGCGUGUAGGCGGCUUGGCAAGUCGGACGUGAAAGCCCGGGGCUCAACCCCGGAACGGCGCCCGAAACUGCCUGGCUAGAGUCCCGGAGAGGAGGGCGGAAUUCCCGGUGUAGAGGUGAAAUUCGUAGAUAUCGGGAGGAACACCAGUGGCGAAGGCGGCCAUCUGGACGGUGACUGACGCUGAGACGCGAAAGCGUGGGGAGCAAACAGGAUUAGAAACCCCGGUAGUCC